CUUAGCUCUUAAGCCACUGCUGAUCUUCUUAGAACCACACACCGCAGGUGCUUCCCUGUGGAAACUGCAAAUGUUUACUCUGUCUUCCCCCUUUGAAUGACUUAGAACAUGUUGUGGCUAAGGUUCAUUCGUUAUCAACAUUCAGAAACUGCCAUUUCCUUUUCUACCUGCAAAGCCUAAUAAUAACUUUUUAAACUAUUGCUUCCUUUGCAUAUUCACCAUACAUCCUGCUUUCAGAUGUGGAAUCUAAAACCUUGCUGAGAAACUGCCUCCAAUGUUGCUCCCUUAACUUUCACUGUGGAAAACUCUGAAGGAAGUUGGCUGCACCAUUUAAUGGAAGCAUGAGGAACUAGUCUCUUUCCUUUAGAUACGUAUGAAAAUGGCUCCACUGUGACUCAGCAGAUCUCCAGGAUUUUCCUGUGUAGUUUCUGUUUUGGCUUUCAUCUGGUGGGAACUGACUGCUACAGGACCGAGGCUUUUAAAUCAAACCCAAAUAACAAAAUGUAUUUAGAGCUGAAAAAGGUGGUGCCAUCAGGCUGGGGUGGGGAUGAGGAAGUGAUUCAUUACCCCAGUUGGAAUGUAAAUUCAAUGAGUUUAAUUACUAGUGGUGUCAAAAAAGGAUUUUCACUGAUAGC
rnacentral:lncRNA from 1 species